UGCUUCUUAAUUUUUCCCACUUUUUCACUUAAUUUCAAUAUUUAUAGCUCCGCAAAUGCAGUAUUGCAGUUUUCGCCCCAUUUCACCCCGAAAUCGGUUUUGUCACACAAUGCCCUUUUGACCAUAAGCCGUAACGUGAAGUAUUCCUUAAUUGAAGUAUUUUAUUGUUCGUAACAAUAAACGAAAUUACUUUUUGUGGCUAUUUAUUUGAAUUUGAAAACCCCGCUUUCGAAACAACCCAGUGAAGUGUGCAUAAACCGAAAUCCCGUAAGGGUGAAGUGAAUUUUGCUAAGAUUCGUUCUGUAGCCAUUCGGGGGUCUGGCCUUGUCAAAAUAUUUAGUUUUGAGGUGAUCGUCUAGAGAUUGUUUGGGGGACACUACUUUGUAGUUCAAAAUUCGUUAUUUCAAGUACAGUGUGUCUGGGGAAAAGAAACUCUAUGAACUCUACGGACUUCAUGAGAAUUAUUUAUUCAACAUACUACACACAUCAUCUGCAGGUAUCUCUACUAUCUAUCCCCGGCAUCAAACGGAUGUAAGCUGGGGUGUGAGAAUUUAAACAAAUUGAUUACGCGGACCCGCCCCGGGAAAUUUAAAAAGACGGUUGCAAGAGGGACUCCCAGAGGUUCCGACCACCGCGUGCUCUCCAUUCCCUAACCUUGGGUAUACAUCUCUCCCCAAGCCUCGAGGUAAAAGCUAGGCUCUCUUUUUUAAUUUGGCAUGUUUUGUAGUUGGGCCAUUGCACUCACUGGGACUGCCGAGGUCUUUUUCCCUAGUGUGAUGCUUCUCCCCCGUUACUUUCAAUGCUGAACCCGCUCCGUAUUUCCUGAUCCCCGUUGGCUAACUGUUACCGACCUGCAUCAAAAUCCCCUGGAUAUGGAUAUGGAUAUGGAUAUGUAAUAACUGUUGCAAGAUUCUCUAUCCUAAAGUUGAAGAUGAAGCGUAUUUGUCGGUUCGUAGAAAUGUCGAAGAAAUACACAAACGCCAGUUGUUAGUUUUGGAAAAACUGAACAGCUGGAGGCACCAAAUUGCCCAAUAUUUGGACAAAAACGUGGGCUGUGUCUUAUCUAAGAGUAAUAUGGAGACCUUGGUUUUGCAAAUUUCGCAGUCAUCACACGUGAAGGAACAUUUGGACGAAAUUAUGCAAAUAUUGUCGGAGGGAAAUCCCGUCCGGUUUAAUGAAUUUUCUAGAAAUAAACGUAAAUUUAACCAAACUGGGUUUGGUAGAAAUGAACCGUCUGGAAGUAAUAAGAAAAAAUGGAAUAAUCAAAUUGGCAAAAAUGUGCAAAACAUGUUUGACUUGAGGAACACUUUGCCCCAAAGGGACAGGAAGCCCUUCUGGAACAAGCAAGCGGCCAAACGUUUUCACAAGUAUAACUAGACCACAAAAUUUUUUUUUUGGAUUAAUUCUUUUUGGUAAGUUUCAAUUUUAUUCAGUUAAUUAUGUUUUUUAUGAGUGGUUUGGACCACUUUUAUUUUUUUCAUUUGGGUACAAAUGCGUCUUUAUGGAAACGCUGCUUCACAAAAUACAGCUUAAUGUGUUUGAAAAAAUUAGAAAGAUAUUUCGCUUAACUCCACAAUGUGAAUUCAUAAGUGAAAUAUUUCGAAAACUACUGUGGGUAUAGGGCUCCUGAGGUUGAUAAAAACAAAACUACUAAAACAUUUAAGAUAUUGGAAAAGACAAUAACAAACAUAUUGUAUAAGUGCGGCAAUAAACUUAAUAAAUUAUAUAGUUCAUUCAAAAAAAAAAUAAAGUAACAAACCUUUCCCCCCUCCAUUAUUUCAUUCGUGGAAGAAUAACAAAUUAGUUUCGAGGGAAAAAUAGUUUAAAAAGCUGAUGUUUUGUAAAAUGAAAAAAAUUAUUAAAGUGCACUUAUCUUCAUGGCAUCUACUUCCGCUACAAUAUGUAGCAAUAAGGUAUUACAAAUAAAUAAAAACCAAGUUAAUAUUA